rnacentral:rRNA from 1 species
GACGAACGCUGGCGGCGUGCUUAACACAUGCAAGUCGAACGGAAAGGCCCUGCUUUUGUGGGGUGCUCGAGUGGCGAACGGGUGAGUAACACGUGAGUAACCUGCCCUUGACUUUUGUAUAACUUCAGGAAACUGGGGCUAAUACCGGAUAGGAGCUCCUGCUGCAUGGUGGGGGUUGGAACGUUUCGGCUGUUGGGGAUGGACUCGCGGCUUAUCAGCUUGUUGGUGGGGUAGUUGCUUACCAAGGCUUUGACGGGUAGCCGGCCUGAGAGGGUGACCGGGCACAUGGGGACUGAGAGACGGACCAGACGCCUACGGGAGGCAGCAGGGGGGAAUAUUGCACAAUGGGCGGAAGUCUGAUGCAGAAACGCCGCGUGCGGGAUGACGGCCUUCGGGUUGUAAACAGCUGUCGCCUGUGACGAAGCGGGAGUGACGGUAAUGGGUAAAGAAGCACCGGCUAACUACGUG